GAUUGAACGCUGGCGGCAGGCCUAACACAUGCAAGUCGAACGGUAACAGGAAGCAGCUUGCUGUUUCGCUGACGAGUGGCGGACGGGUGAGUAAUGUCUGGGAAACUGCCUGAUGGAGGGGGAUAACUACUGGAAACGGUAGCUAAUACCGCAUAACGUCGCAAGACCAAAGAGGGGGACCUUCGGGCCUCUUGCCAUCGGAUGUGCCCAGAUGGGAUUAGCUAGUAGGUGGGGUAACGGCUCACCUAGGCGACGAUCCCUAGCUGGUCUGAGAGGAUGACCAGCCACACUGGAACUGAGACACGGUCCAGACUCCUACGGGAGGCAGCAGUGGGGAAUAUUGCACAAUGGGCGCAAGCCUGAUGCAGCCAUGCCGCGUGUAUGAAGAAGGCCUUCGGGUUGUAAAGUACUUUCAGCGGGGAGGAAGGGAGUAAAGUUAAUACCUUUGCUCAUUGACGUUACCCGCAGAAGAAGCACCGGCUAACUCCGUGCCAGCAGCCGCGGUAAUACGGAGGGUGCAAGCGUUAAUCGGAAUUACUGGGCGUAAAGCGCACGCAGGCGGUUUGUUAAGUCAGAUGUGAAAUCCCCGGGCUCAACCUGGGAACUGCAUCUGAUACUGGCAAGCUUGAGUCUCGUAGAGGGGGGUAGAAUUCCAGGUGUAGCGGUGAAAUGCGUAGAGAUC
rnacentral:rRNA from 1 species